rnacentral:tRNA from 1 species
CGGGGUGUGGCGCAGCACGGUCAGCGCGCUUGCCUGGGGGGCAAGAGGUCUCCGGUUCGAAUCCGGGCACCCCGACCA